UACAGAGACUGCAAGCGUUAUUCGGAUUCACUGGGCGUAAAGGGUGCGCAGGCGGCCGUGGGUGUGAGGCGUGAAAGCCCGGGGCUUAACCCCGGAAUUGCACCUCAAACUACACGGCUAGAGCAUUGGAGAGGGUAGCAGAAUUCACGGUGUAGCAGUGAAAUGCGUAGAUAUCGUGAGGAAUACCAGAGGCGAAGGCGGCUACCUGGACAAUUGCUGACGCUCAGGCACGAAAGCGUGGGGAGCAAAAGGG
rnacentral:rRNA from 1 species